rnacentral:misc_RNA from 1 species
UACGAAGGGGGCUAGCGUUGUUCGGAUUUACUGGGCGUAAAGCGCACGUAGGCGGGUUGUUAAGUUAGAGGUGAAAUCCUGGGGCUCAACUCCAGAACUGCCUUUAAUACUGGCAACCUAGAGUCCGGAAGAGGUGAGUGGAACUCCUAGUGUAGAGGUGGAAUUCGUAGAUAUUAGGAAGAACACCAGUGGCGAAGGCGGCUCACUGGUCCGGUACUGACGCUGAGGUGCGAAAGCGUGGGGAGCAAACAGG